rnacentral:rRNA from 1 species
CACGCAGGCGGUCUCUUUAGUCCUUUGUGAAAGCCCGGGGCUCAACUCCGGAACUGCAGAGGAUACUGGGAGACUAGAGACUGGUAGAGGCUAGCGGAAUUCCUGGUGUAGCGGUGGAAUGCGUAGAUAUCAGGAAGAACACCUGUGGCGAAGGCGGCUAGCUGGGCCAGUUCUGACGCUCAUGUGCGAAAGCGUGGGGAGCAAACA